CCUCCAAGGCUAAAUACUCCUGACUGACCGAUAGUGAACCAGUACCGUGAGGGAAAGGCGAAAAGAACCCCGGCGAGGGGAGUGAAAAAGAACCUGAAACCGUGUACGUACAAGCAGUGGGAGCACCUUCGGGUGUGACUGCGUACCUUUUGUAUAAUGGGUCAGCGACUUAUAUUCUGUAGCAAGGUUAACCGUAUAGGGGAGCCGGAGGGAAACCGAGUCUUAAUUGGGCGUUAAGUUGCAGGGUAUAGACCCGAAACCCGGUGAUCUAGCCAUGGGCAGGUUGAAGGUUGGGUAACACUAACUGGAGGACCGAACCGAC
rnacentral:rRNA from 1 species